AUGGACCUUUGAAUUGAGAGUCCUCCCAUUUCAGUUUGAGUACUGGGAUUACAGGAGUGUACUGCCAUACUGAAUUUGACAUCUCCCUCAUACUAGAAAAACAUUCAGGAUAGAAACUCCUCAGGAAGCCAGAGUUAAAACCACAUUUGGGCCAUCAAAUUGAAAUUCAAGUCCUAUUAAUCAAUAGAUCAGUAGUUUGUUUUUCAAGUUUCUAGUUUCAUCAGUUGGUGUUCUCUGAGGGUUAAUUCCUUUAAUUAGAGAUGGUACAUGGAAGGGAAACAUGGAAAGGUUAGAAGUUUUGUUAUUGUCAUAAUCUGCCCAAGUUCAAGUUCACUGUUUAACAGAGCCAUAUUGGAAACUGGUUAUUUCAAAUUCUUUGGGGAAUGCAUGUAAAGUAAAUAAGAUCUAUUACUGCCGUCAUAAGGAGAAACAAAGUCCAGGGAGCCUUGCUUCACAGAGAAUGUCAGACUUUUGAGCUGAUUUUAUAAGCAAGAGCUCAUCUUAGCAAGAUCACCUGAAAGUGAGUGGUGGCGAUGAGGGGUUGUUCCAGUCCAGCGGAACACUGUAACAUGAAUGUAAAUGUGAACUGAAGAUAACUGGACAAGGAUCAUCUUGACCAGAGAGACUAUGAGUUUGACAUAGAAAUAAACAAUGAGGUGACUAGCAGCAGUCCACCCUUUGUUCUUAGCUCAGAGGCUCUGGGUAUAAAUACACCUAAGAGACAAUUAGAGGCAAUUACUAAUUAGAGACCCACAGCUAAUUUAAUAUGGGUGGGAAACUAGCCUCAGGAAACCACCCCUAAGGGAUAAAAGGAAUAGAAUACUUGAAGAUUUUCUUUUUGUUAUCUCUUAAGUUGUCUUUGAUGCUGGCUGGAUUUGGUAAACAAUAGUUUUACCUUAGAAGGGGUUGAGUUGAAAUGAUAUUUGGAAAGUUUUCCAUAAUUGGCAUUUAAUUUCCUUCUUUUUAAAAAAUGUUUUUGUUAUUAUAAAGGUGAUGCACAGAGAGAUUAAGUUAUGUAAGUCAGGUAAAGAGUACAUUUCUUUUUGGACAAGGUCAUC